AACGAACGCUGGCGGCAGGCCUAACACAUGCAAGGUCGAACGCUCGUAGCAAUACGGGAGUGGCAGACGGGUGCGUAACGCGUGGGAACAUACCCUUUGGUUCGGAAUAACUCAGGGAAACUUGAGCUAAUACCGGAUACGCCCGAGAGGGGAAAGAUUUAUUGCCGAAGGAUUGGCCCGCGUCUGAUUAGCUGGUUGGUAGGGUAACGGCCUACCAAGGCGACGAUCAGUAGCUGGUCUGAGAGGAUGAUCAGCCACACUGGGACUGAGACACGGCCCAGACUCCUACGGGAGGCAGCAGUGGGGAAUAUUGGACAAUGGGCGCAAGCCUGAUCCAGCCAUGCCGCGUGAGUGAUGACGGCCUUAGGGUUGUAAAGCUCUUUUGGCGGGAGCGAAACGGCGUUUGCUAAUACCAGACGCUAAUGACGGUACCCGCAGAAUAAGCACCGGCUAACUACGUG
rnacentral:rRNA from 1 species